AUGAACGCUGGCGGCGUGCCUAAUCCAUGCAAGUCGAGCGAACAGACGAGGAGCUUGCUCCUCUGACGUUAGCGGCGGACGGGUGAGUAACACGUGGAUAACCUACCUAUAAGACUGGGAUAACUUCGGGAAACCGGAGCUAAUACCGGAUAAUAUAUUGAACCGCAUGGUUCAAUAGUGAAAGACGGUUUUGCUGCCACUUAUAGAUGGAUCCGCGCCGCAUUAGCUAGUUGGUAAGGUAACGGCUUACCAAGGCAACGAUGCGUAGCCGACCUGAGAGGGUGAUCGGCCACACUGGAACUGAGACACGGUCCAGACUCCUACGGGAGGCAGCAGUAGGGAAUCUUCCGCAAUGGGCGAAAGCCUGACGGAGCAACGCCGCGUGAGUGAUGAAGGUCUUCGGAUCGUAAAACUCUGUUAUUAGGGAAGAACAAAUGUGUAAGUAACUAUGCACGUCUUGACGGUACCUAAUCAGAAAGCCACGGCUAACUACGUG
rnacentral:rRNA from 1 species